CGGGUUGAAGAAAUGUAGAUUUUUGUUUGAAUAUUCUGUUAAUUAUAGUUCUUAGAGAGAAAAUCAGAAUUGGCACAAAUCAGUAUCGGCACGUCACAAAAAAAUCUGAAUCGGCCAAGAACAUUGCAAU